UUUGAUGUUUAAAGUUGAAGUUUGUGACAGUUGCAGUGCAGAUAUAUGAGAUGACGAUGUUCACAUGUUUGUUUUGAUUUUUUUUUCUUCUUAAUUACAACCACUUUGUUUAUGAUUUUAUAAUCUUAUUCCAGUGUGCUACAGUUGCCUAAAGACUUUGGUUAGCAAUGCUGCAUGUGUUCUAUAACAUUAUUUUUAUGUCUCAAUAUAGUUCCAGAAUUUGUUCUCCAAAUGUGAGAUGGUAGAGGCAGUUUAGUGAGUCGUAUUAGUGUGACUUUGGUUGCAAAUAUUGCAACAAAAGUCAAAGGAGAAGGGGAAGAUGUCACAGUGUUGUGCAAGGGUUAUUAAUUAGUUUAAUAGAUGUUAUCAAAGCUCACCGAUAGACUUGACAGAGACCAGACAAAGGUUAGGACAAUGUCAGUUAGGUGUUUGUCUUGUAGAGAGACUGAUAUGUGGGUCGGGACAGACAUUAGCAAUGUUAGUUUAGGCGUAGGCUAGAUACUCAGCCUAUAUAGAGUAGAGUUUGGGGCAAUCGGGACACAACGCCAUGUAGUUUUAGCAGGGGCGUGUGUCGUAUGCUAGGCGUUUUCUGGUGAACGACACAUACAGACAUUGGGAGCAAGUCGCCGAGGUUGGCUCGCGAUCUUGGCUCCAAGAUGUGUGAGUUGUUUGCCAGAGACAACAUGUAGGAACUUUAAUUCUUAAGGACCAGGAGUGACAGUCUUGGCGACUGUCUGAGUCUUAGUGACAGUCUGACGGUCAGAGACGGUAGAUCUAUAUAUGGUGUAUCCUUGCCUGCUACGCAAGGGGAUAUCACUCUAGUAUUGAGCGGACUGUGACGUUGGGUUCCAGGAUCCGUGCAGAGACUAGAGAGAGAGAGAGAGAGAGAGAGACAAGAGAAAUGGAGAGUUCAUCGUGACCUACAGCCAAGUAUCAAUAUCUAUGUGAUUAUUAAAUUUUAAUUCUAGAAUCACAUGAGUAUUAUAUGUAAUUAUAGUUGUUAAUUAAAUAUUUAUUUUUCUUAUGAAAA